GAAAUGCGAUAAGUAGUGUGAAUUGCAGAAUUCGGUGAAUCAUCGAAUCUUUGAACGCACAUUGCGCCCUUUGGUAUUCCUUAGGGCAUGCCUGUUCGAGCGUCAUCUAAACCCUCAAGCCCUGCUUGGUGUUGGGUGCCUGUCCCGCCCCCGUGCGUGGACUCACCUCAAAUCCAUUGGCGGCCCUCGUGCCGGCCCCGAGCGCAGCAGAAACGCGGUCUCGUGGCCCGGCGGAGCGUGCCCCCAGAAGCAACAUUCACCGUUUUGACCUCGGAUCAGGUAGGGAUACCCGCUGAACUUAAGC
rnacentral:misc_RNA from 1 species